GCUCAGGACGAACGCUGGCGGCGCGCCUAACACAUGCAAGUCGAACGGAGCUUAGAGAGCUUGCUUUUUAAGCUUAGUGGCGAACGGGUGAGUAACGCGUGAGUAACCUGCCCUAGAGUGGGGGACAACAGUUGGAAACGACUGCUAAUACCGCAUAAGCCCACGGUACCGCAUGGUACUGAGGGAAAAGGAUUUAUUCGCUUUAGGAUGGACUCGCGUCCAAUUAGCUAGUUGGUGAGGUAACGGCCCACCAAGGCGACGAUUGGUAGCCGGACUGAGAGGUUGAACGGCCACAUUGGGACUGAGACACGGCCCAGACUCCUACGGGAGGCAGCAGUA
rnacentral:rRNA from 1 species